rnacentral:misc_RNA from 1 species
GUGAGUCAUCGAUCUUUGAACGCACAUUGCGCCCGCCAGUAUUCUGGCGGGCAUGCCUGUUCGAGCGUCAUUACAACCCUCAGGCCCCCGGGCCUGGCGUUGGGGAUCGGCGGAAGCCCCCUGUGGGCACACGCCGUCCCUCAAAUACAGUGGCGGUCCCGCCGCAGCUUCCAUUGCGUAGUAGCUAACACCUCGCAACUGGAGAGCGGCGCGGCCAUGCCGUAAAACACCCAACUUCUGAAUGUUGACCUCGAAUCAGGUAGGAAUACCCGCUGAACUUAAGCAUAUCAAUAAGCGGAG